rnacentral:lncRNA from 1 species
CUUGAUUAAUAGAGUAAAAAAUCUAUUAGUUUUCUUGCGAUCAUCAAAUCUUUGUCGCAUUAUAAACAUUGAUUCUCUUUAUUGUAUUACAUUGUUCCCAUUCCAAUUUAGAUAUAUAUAUAUAUAUAUUUUUUCGGUUUAGAAUCCAAUGUAUUGAUUUAACCGUAAGAAAUAAAAAUUGGAACAAUCAAUUUUCAACGAUUGUAUGAAUAUCGCCAUACAAUAAGGAGACUACAUCUUGUACCGUGUGUUUUCUUCUUCUCCGUCUUGCUUCUAUCUCUAGAUCAUAUUCUGCAUGAAUCCACGACGGUUUCUCUGGUGCCGUUGUUUCCGUAACAAAUACGAUAAGAUUUGUUUUAAACAUCGGAUAGUCAUCACCCACUUAUGAUAACCACCGGAAACUACAACAAAACGAACAAUAUAUGUCUGAUUUGACAAGGACUCAGCAAUAAAUGCUGAAAGAUAUCAAAAGUAAUAUUUAAUUGCACUCUUGUGAAGGAAGGAACAAAUCUUAUAAGAAGACAUAUUCAUGCUUUUGUUUUGGAUUGCUCUCACAACUAUAUUUUCGUGAAAUUAUAUGAUUGAAAAACAAAUUAAUGAAGGGGGGAGAGCCACCGACACAAAUGCCAGUGGCCCUAAAGAGAUCGACGAGAUUGAAGAAAUGCAGAAAUGGGUUUUC